GACGAACGCUGGCGGCGCGCUUAACACAUGCAAGUCGAACGGAGCUGAGAGAAGCUUGCUUUUCUCAGCUUAGUGGCGAACGGGUGAGUAACGCGUGAGUAACCUGCCCUGGAGUGGGGGACAACAGUUGGAAACGACUGCUAAUACCGCAUAAGCCCACGGAUUCGCAUGGAUCUGCGGGAAAAGGAUUUAUUCGCUUCAGGAUGGACUCGCGUCCAAUUAGCUAGUUGGUGAGGUAACGGCCCACCAAGGCGACGAUUGGUAGCCGGACUGAGAGGUUGAACGGCCACAUUGGGACUGAGACACGGCCCAGACUCCUACGGGAGGCAGCAGUGGGGGAUAUUGCACAAUGGGGGAAACCCUGAUGCAGCGACGCCGCGUGGAGGAAGAAGGUUUUCGGAUUGUAAACUCCUGUCGUUAGGGACGAUAAUGACGGUACCUAACAAGAAAGCAC
rnacentral:rRNA from 1 species